rnacentral:rRNA from 1 species
AACCUCCGCAAUGUGAGAAAUCGCGACGGGGGGAUCCCAAGUGCCAUUCUUAACGGGAUGGCUUUUCUUAAGUGUAAAAAGCUUUUGGAAUAAGAGCUGGGCAAGACCGGUGCCAGCCACCGCGGUAACACCGGCAGCUCUAGUGGUAGCUGUUUUUAUUGGGCCUAAAGCGUUCGUAGCCGGUUCGAUAAGUCACUGGUGAAAUCCUGUAGCUUGACUGUGGGAAUUGCUGGUGAUACUGUUGAACUUGAGGUCGGGAGAGGUUAGCGGUACUCCCAGGGUAGAGGUGAAAUUCUGUAAUCCUGGGAGGACCACCUGUGGCGAAGGCGGCUAACUGGAACGAACCUGACGGUGAGGGACGAAAGCUAGGGGCGCGAACCGGAUUAGAUACCCGGGUAGUCCUAGCCGUAAACGAUGCGGACUUGGUGUUGGGAUGGCUUUGAGCCGCUCCGGUGCCGAAGGGAAGCUGUUAAGUCCGCCGCCUGGGAAGUACGGUCGCAAGACUGAAACUUAAAGGAAUU